UCCCAUUCCAGAGGAGUCGCCUGCAUG
rnacentral:piRNA from 1 species